rnacentral:lncRNA from 1 species
CAGAGACCUGAAGGAAUAUGUGGAGAAGUUCCUCAACCUCUGCCAUAAUGUUACCUGCGACGAUGUCUGUUUAAUGGCGGGAUUUCGGUGUGGACUAGACAAAUAUCUCCGCUUCGCCAUGCCCCGCAGCGAGCGCUGCUGGACCCUGGAGUCUUAUAUCAACAUAGCGCUGUGGAAGGAUGGAUCCAUGCUCACAGUGAGCGAAAUGAAGGAUGACAGCAGCCUUGUCCAGCCACACCGCACAGAUGUCGCACAACCCGACCCAGAGCCCAGCCCACCAUCAUUCUGCUGCGCGGAGCCUAAGCCCAAGCCCACCACAGACGGAGAGCCUAUUCCAACCACGAUCAACAAGUCAUCGCCGAGGAGAGCGACAGAGCUGGAGAUCGUCCCGGAGCCCGAGCCUCUCGGAGCGUCUAUUCAGGUGUAUGUGCCGGCAACGGUGCUUGCCACGAGGGAGAUGGCCAUGGACGGCGAGAGCACGGAGGGAAGCUCCGCCCACAGCACCAUGGCUGAGGGUGAGCUGAGCUCAGUGGAUUUCGAUAUGGAUAUAUAUGCAGACCUGCCCGCUCUUCUCCCGUCUGAACACUCUGUCAGUCCUGUUUCAGCUAUGGAGGCAGUUUGUGAAUCAUCUGCCUGCCCUGAAUCAUCUGUCUGCCCUGAAAUCUCUACCUGCCCUGAACUGUAUAUCUGCCCUGAACCAUCUGACUGUGUGACAAUGACCAUGGAGCACGUUCCCCUGUCACUGGCGCUGCCGGUGUUGGGAGUGGCCUUAUGGUGUGUGUGGGCAGCACACACUGUUCCUAAGCCCCCUGAGCAUCUUGAACUCUUGCCCAUCCUCCCUCUCCCACCAUCUCUGUACCAGUCCUCCCCAUCGCCACCGCUGUCUCCUGGCAGCCCCUCUCCUCACCCUCAGCCCACCAUCUGUGCGGUGGGAUCACCACGGGUCUACCAGUUCCCAUCGGCGUCAUGGCUGGAGGAUCCCUUGCCUUCGCCUCCAGCCUCUGUGUCCCGGACUCAGCCUUGGCCCGUCGACCCAGCGGCUCCACCAUGGCUCCUAGCUCCCUCCUCUUCCCUCCUCUUCGCCAUGGCCCGUCAGUCCACCGGCUCCGCCAGGCUCCUUCUUCCCUCUGGCUCCACCUUGGUCAUCUGUCGCUCCGGCUCCACCACGGCCUUCCGGAUCCCCGACUCUGCCUCGGUCACCUGAGCCAUCUGCUCUGCCUUGGCCCUCCAGAUCCUCAGCGUCGCCCUGGCUCAUCGGCUCUCCGGCUCCUCCCUCUGUCAGCUCCACCGUGGGCCGCCAUCAUGGCUGGGGUCUGGGUCCCGCCUGGCUCCUCCUGUUCCCUCCUGUCUUCUCCCUGGCUCUUCCCUCUGUCUGGUCCGCACUGGCUCCUCCUGUUUCCUCCAUGGCUCCGCCCUCCGUCAUCACCACCCUGGACUCUGUUGGGCAUCCUCCUCCCGGUCAUCUGGCUACCUCCAGAACCUCCAGAACCACCUUCGACCUGUCUGUGCCAUCCCUUUUUGCCAU